GAUGAACGCUGGCGGCGUGCCUAAUACAUGCAAGUCGAGCGAACAGACGAGGAGCUUGCUCCUCUUACGUUAGCGGCGGACGGGUGAGUAACACGUGGAUAACCUACCUAUAAGACUGGGAUCACUUCGGGAAACCGGAGCUAAUACCGGAUAAUAUAUUGAACCGCAUGGUUCAAUAGUGAAAGACGGUUUUGCUGUCACUUAUAGAUGGAUCCGCGCCGCAUUAGCUAGUUGGUAAGGUAACGGCUUACCAAGGCAACGAUGCGUAGCCGACCUGAGAGGGUGAUCGGCCACACUGGAACUGAGACACGGUCCAGACUCCUACGGGAGGCAGCAGUAGGGAAUCUUCCGCAAUGGGCGAAAGCCUGACGGAGCAACGCCGCGUGAGUGAUGAAGGUCUUCGGAUCGUAAAACUCUGUUAUUAGGGAAGAACAAAUGUGUAAGUAACUAUGCACGUCUUGACGGUACCUAAUCAGAAAGCCACGGCUAACUACGUG
rnacentral:rRNA from 1 species